AUUCUCAACCACUGAUAUGAUAGAAUAGAGUACAACUUGGCCCCUUGAAUUGUUAUGUAGGAAUGAUAGAAUUAGGUAGGGUCUCUCUCUCUCUCUCUCUCUCUCUCUCUCUCUCUCUCUCUCUCUCUCUCUCUCUCUCUCUCUCUCUCUCUCUCUCUCUCUCUCUCUCUCUCU